UACGUAGGGGGCAAGCGUUGUCCGGGAAUCAUUGGGCGUAAAGAAGCGCGUAGGCGGUCCAGUAAGUCCGCUCUGAAAGUCCGGGGCUCAACCCCGGGAGCGGGCGGAUACUGCUGGGCUAGAGUCCGGAAGAGGCGAGUGGAAUUCCUGGUGUAGCGGUGAAAUGCGCAGAUAUCAGGAGGAACACCAUAGCGAAGGCACCGCGCCUGGCGACUGACGCUGAGUGCGAAAGCGUGGGGAGCAAACAGG
rnacentral:rRNA from 1 species